ACUCCUACGGGAGGCAGCAGUAGGGAAUAUUGGUCAAUGGGCGAAAGCCUGAACCAGCCAUGCCGCGUGUCAGAUGAAGGUCCUCUGGAUUGUAAAUGACUUUUCUACGGGAAGAAUGAGCCGUCUGCGGACGGAAGUUGACGGUACCGUAGGAAUAAGCACCGGCUAACUACGUGCCAGCAGCCGCGGUAAUACGUAGGGGUGCAAGCGUUGUCCGGAUUUACUGGGGUUUAAAGGGUACGUAGGCGGUUGUGCCAAGUCUGGGGUGAAAGUUUGCAGCUCAACUGUAAAAUUGCCUUGGAUACUGGUCGGCUAGAGUAGUGGAGCGGUGGCUGGAAUUUAUAGUGUAGCGGUGAAAUGCUUAGAUACUAUGAGGAACACCAAUUGCGAAGGCAGGUCACUGGUCACUAACUGACGCUGAGGUACGAAAGUGUGGGGAUC
rnacentral:rRNA from 1 species